CGGUUGAUCCUGCCGGAGGUUAUUGCUAUCCGAAUUCGACUAAGCUAUGCGAGUCUGGGGUUAAACCCAGGCGCACUGCUCAGUAACACGUAGUCAAUCUGCCCUUAGGAUCGGUCUAAUCCCGGGAAACUGGGGCCGAGGACCGAAUAGGCAAGGGGUACUGGAAUGCCCCCUUACUGAACUAAGGAUGAGACUGCGGCUCAUCAGGUUGUUGCCAGGGUAAAGCAGACUGACCGCUUAUUUAAAUUGACUCAAGCGGUCGGUUUUUACAUUCCUGGCAAGCCUAUAACGGGUACGGGCCUUGAAAGAGGAAGCCCGGAGUUGGAUUCUGAGACAUGAAUCCAGGCCCUACGGGGUGCAGCAAGCGCGAAACGUCCGCAAUGCCCGCAAGGGUGACGGCGGAAUUCGGAGUGUUUUCUCCGUUAGGAGGAAGCUUUUGCCAAGUCCAGACAGCUUGGUGAAUAAGUGGUGGGUAAGACGGGUGCCAGCCGCCGCGGUAAUACCCGCGCCACUAGUGGUAACCAUUAUUACUGGGCUUAAAGUGUUCGUAGCCGGCCUUGAAAGUUCCCGAUGAAAUCCCGUAGCUAACUGCGGGGCUUGUCGGGGAUACUGCAAGGCUAGGGACCGGGAGAGGCCAAGAGUAUUCCUGGGGUAGGGGUAAAAC
rnacentral:rRNA from 1 species